rnacentral:rRNA from 1 species
AACGAACGCUGGCGGCAGGCCUAACACAUGCAAGUCGAACGCCCCGCAAGGGGAGUGGCAGACGGGUGAGUAACGCGUGGGAACGUACCCUUCGGUUCGGAAUAACCCGGGGAAACUCGGGCUAAUACCGGAUACGUCCGCAAGGAGAAAGAUUUAUCGCCGAAGGAUCGGCCCGCGUCGGAUUAGCUAGUUGGUGGGGUAAUGGCCCACCAAGGCGACGAUCCGUAGCUGGUCUGAGAGGAUGAUCAGCCACACUGGGACUGAGACACGGCCCAGGCUCCUACGGGAGGCAGCAGUGGGGAAUAUUGGACAAUGGGCGAAAGCCUGAUCCAGCCAUGCCGCGUGAGUGAAGAAGGCCUUAGGGUUGUAAAGCUCUUUCAGCGGGGAAGAUAAUGACGGUACCCGCAGAAGAAGCCCCGGCUAACUUCGUGCCAGCCGCCGCUGUAAG